rnacentral:misc_RNA from 1 species
GAUGAAGAACGUAGCGAAAUGCGAUACUUGGUGUGAAUUGCAGAAUCCCGUGAACCAUCGAGUCUUUGAACGCAAGUUGCGCCCGAAGCCUUUAGGCCGAGGGCACGCCUGCCUGGGCGUCACACGCCGUUGCCCCCCCCGCGCCUCCCUCGGGAGCGUCGGGGGGCGGACGAUGGCCUCCCGUGCGUCACCCCGCGCGGCUGGCACAAAUGCCGGGUCCUCGGUGACGAACGCCACGACAAUCGGUGGUUGUCGAACCUCGGUUGCCCGUUGUGCGCUUUCGUCGCGCUCCGAUCGGCCCGCGACGCUCCCCGCUCCGCUUCGGCCGAGCUUUCGACGCGACCCCAGGUCAGGCGGGGUUACCCGCUGAAUUUAAGCAUAUCAAUAACGGAGG